UUUUAGGGUCAAAUUAGACAUCUUGAUGUCGUUUUGCUGUUGCUGUAUCUUUUGAUAGCUUACAUUGCAUACAAGGUGCUUUGAUUUAUCACGAGAGAUCAUCACGAAUCAAUAUAUUCCUUUUUUUGUGAUGGAAUUAAGACAAGGUAUCAAGGUCAUCAAAAUUACGAUAUGAAAGCACGCAAACUAUCCAAGACAGAAUGAGGCAUUUAAUAUGCAUAUGGAACGGCCGUACCACCAUUGAAGCCAAAUAUCUGAUAACAACCUGACAGAAAGCAAGAAAAUGAAGAAGCGUAUGUCAAGAAUCAAAACACUUUAACUGUAAAUUUAUGAGAAGCAUAUCCACCUAGCACGGCGAAAUUUUGUUAACCUCCAUACAUCACGAGAAAGAGAAAGGGAGACUUUGGUGUACCAAUUUCGGACAAAUUGAAAGCAUUUGAAAGGAAAUUAAAUGUUAUUUACCUGGAAAUCGUUUUUAGA